CAACUGGGAUUGCCUUAGUAACGGCGAGUGAAGCGGCAAAAGCUCAAAUUUGAAAUCUGGUACCUUUGGUGCCCGAGUUGUAAUUUGGAGAGUACCACUUUGGGACUGUACUUUGCCUAUGUUCCUUGGAACAGGACGUCAUGGAGGGUGAGAAUCCCGUGUGGCGAGGGUGUCAGUUCUUUGUAAAGGGUGCUCGAAGAGUCGAGUUGUUUGGGAAUGCAGCUCUAAGUGGGUGGUAAAUUCCAUCUAAAGCUAAAUACAGGCGAGAGACCGAUAGCGAACAAGUACAGUGAUGGAAAGAUGAAAAGAACUUUGAAAAGAGAGUGAAAAAGUACGUGAAAUUGUUGAAAGGGAAGGGCAUUUGAUCAGACAUGGUGUUUUGCGCCCCUUGCCUCUCGUGGGCUUGGGACUCUCGCAGCUCACUGGGCCAGCAUCGGUUUUGGCGGCCGGAAAAAACCUAGGGAAUGUGGCUCUGCGCCUCGGUGUAGAGUGUUAUAGCCCU
rnacentral:rRNA from 1 species